rnacentral:rRNA from 1 species
CUACGGGUGGCAGCAGUAGGGAAUCUUAGACAAUGGGGGAAACCCUGAUCUAGCCAUGCCGCGUGAGUGAUGAAGGCCUUAGGGUUGUAAAGCUCUUUCGCUGGGGAAGAUAAUGACGGUGCCCAGUAAAGAAACCCCGGCUAACUCCGUGCCAGCAGCCGCGGUAAUACGGAGGGGGUUAGCGUUGUUCGGAAUUACUGGGCGUAAAGCGCGCGUAGGCGGGCUAUUAAGUCAGGGGUGAAAUCCCGGGGCUCAACCCCGGAACUGCCUUUGAUACUGGUAGUCUUGAGUUCGAGAGAGGUGAGUGGAAUUCCGGGUGUAGAGGUGAAAUUCGUAGAUAUUCGGAGGAACAUCAGUGGCGAAGGCGACUCACUGGCUCGAUACUGACGCUGAGGUGCGAAAGUGUGGGGAGCAAACAGGAUUAGAUACCCCAGUAGUC